GUUAGCUCAGUUGGUAGAGCAUCUGACUUUUAAUCAGAGGGUCGCUGGUUCGAACCCAGCAC
rnacentral:tRNA from 1 species